CGCGAGGGGAAUAUCUGCAUUUCUCCCCGAUCACUCACUGGAACUAGCAUUAUCGCCGGAACAAUGGGCUCAGCCUGGGCCUGCUUUGCCAACGCGGUUUCGCUGCAGCGCUCGCUCCCGGAUUUAUUUUUGUCCGGGCUUGGAGCGGGGUGCGGAGAUCAGGUGACGGUGCCCAAGGAGCUCUUGGCAUCGCCUGUCCUGUUGCUGUGUGUGCACAUGUCCACGGGAGUAAUGAGCAGGCAGGGAUGAUGGAGGCACGUGGGGUGGCUGCGCUCUCGUUACUGGGUCCUUAUCUCUUGGCUGAGCUCAGUCUGGUGACCAGCUCGUGGGAGAAGGGAUGCUCUCUCACCAGGUGGGGACCCCUCAUGCUCCCACUUGACCUGGCUUUUUGUAGCUUUGCAGUGCAGUCUGAGGAAUCAAAACUAGUGCUUUGGCACUGGGAUUAGGACCUGGAAACCAGUUUCUGAUUUGGUAAUGGCUUCACGUUGCGCCAGGGGAAGUUAAGGUAUGUCUUCCCAUGGGAUAAUAAUCUCUCCGAGCAAGAUCUUCCUGAGCGAAGCCGGGAGGAGCAGCCAGAUGCCAGCGUGGAUGUAUGAUGAGCUGUGGACUUCCCCCUACCAUCUGAGCUCUGUUACCAGCCCGCAGCGCUCCUCCUGCCGACACCGAGCGCCUGUUCUUGCCGUCGCCCCCACACCCGGCGUCGUUAUGGUGCUGCCGUAUGGAGGGCUCAGCCGGCGACGUCUCGCUCACCGGGGCAUGGCCAGGGACCUUCUCCAUCCCUCCUGCAGCAGGGACCCCCGGCCAUGCAGGACAGUUGCCCCUGUGCCCGUGGGUUUGCAGCUUCGUGGUGAGCGUUUGCGACCUGAACUUUGCAGCGUUGUGCUGAUUCACGACGGCUUGUCACCGAAACUGCCUGAAACUGACAGAAAAAGGGACGCUGACUCAUGUGUUUGCCUUCCCCAAGCGGGGAGAAAUGUGAAAGGUGAACAAAGUAUUUAACGGGUGAUAAUUACAUUCGGUGCUGAAAAAUUCAAUCCAUAUUAAUAAGCCGGUGUGUUAUUACUAAUAGAGGCCUUUUACAAUUUAAAAAAAAAAAUAAAUAGUAUUUAAGGUUUUUAACCUUGACA
rnacentral:lncRNA from 1 species